rnacentral:rRNA from 2 species
UACGUAGGGUGCGAGCGUUGUCCGGAAUUAUUGGGCGUAAAGGGCUCGUAGGCGGUUUGUCGCGUCGGGAGUGAAAACGCCGUGCUUAACACGGCGCUUGCUUUCGAUACGGGCAGACUGGAGGUAUGCAGGGGAGAACGGAAUUCCUGGUGUAGCGGUGAAAUGCGCAGAUAUCAGGAGGAACACCGGUGGCGAAGGCGGUUCUCUGGGCAUUACCUGACGCUGAGGAGCGAAAGUGUGGGGAGCGAAC